GUGCCAUUCAGUUCUCGCGGAAUGACAAAGAAAUUAGAGGAGACUUUUUGGUGUAAACCCAUUCCAAAAUGAGGUAUGAAAGAAUGAAACAUUAAAGCGAAGGAGUUCAAAAUGCUGGCCUCCUGCUUGUUCGCAAGCCGCUACUCUAUUGAGGAAAGACCUCCGAACACGUUGUAAAAGUUCAGGCGAAACAUUAUGGAUUGAGUCGGUUAUGCGUUCCUGUAGCUCUUCCAGGGUGUAAAAAGCUGUCGCGCAGCACCCCAUAAAAAAAGUCUAAAAGAGUCAUGUCCGGACUACGGGGUGGCUAAGCAUUAACGGCCCCUCUACCAAUCCACUGCUGAUUAUAAAUAUGGUCUAGGUACUGCCUAACAUGUCUAUGGUAAUGUGGUGGUGCCCCAUCAUGUUGAAACCACAAACCACGAUAGACAGCCAAUGAUUUCACCCGUCAAAUUUUCUUGGAAGAAAAAAGGCUCAAUUAUCCGAUCUCCGAAGAUGCCACACCAAACGUUCACCGAAACAAUUCGUUGAAAAUAAAUGUGUUUCACGUAUUCACAGUGGAUUUUCCUGAGCAUAGUAGUGGCAGUUGUGCUUGUCAACACUACCAUUGUUAGAAAAUUUGGCUUCAUCACUGAAUAAAAUUUUUUGAAUUAAA